CUGAUUGAGAAUCAUACCAGGCCGAACACAAAAUCCCAACAUAGAAAUAGAAAACAUAGACUGCCCACCCAAAACUCACGCCCUGACCAAUAAACACAUACAAAACAAGAGAAAAGAGGUCAAGAACGUGACAAGGCCAAUUUUCAUGUGAAUACAUUUUAGAAAAGUGUGUGUGUUCAUCCAUCCACCAUUUGUUGUUACCUGAGAAUGUAUCCUGAACAAAAAUAUAAACGUAACAUGCAACAAUUUCAACAGUUUUACUGAGUUACAGUAAAUCAGUCAAUUUAAAUAAAUUCAUUAGGCCCUAAUCUAUGGAUUUCAUAUGACUGGCCAGGGGCGCAGCCAUAGAUGGGCCUGGAAGAGCAUAGGCCCACCCACUUGGGAGCCAGGCCCAACCAAUCAGAAUGAUUUGUUUCCUCACAAAAGGGCUUUAUUACAGACAGAAAUAGUCCUCAGUUUCAUCAGCUGUCUUGGUGGCUGGUCUCAGACGAUCCCGCAGGUGAAGAACCCGGAUGUGGAGGUCCUGGACUGGCGUGGUUAUUCAACAUUCUGCCAUAUUCUCUAAAACAACGUUGGAGGUGGCUUAUGGUAGAGAAAUUAACAUUACAUUCUCUGGCAACAGCUCUGGUGAACAUUCCUGCAGUCAGUGUGCCAAUUGCAUGCUCCCUCAAAACUUGAGACAUCUGUGGCAUUGCACACUUUUAGAGUGGCCUCCCGCUCACAUACACUUGUAUCCCUUCUCCGGCUUGGCUACCGCGGGGUACCGUUCAGAGAAAUGGCAUCCCGGAGGAAUGGCACUUCAAGCCUUUCUCUACCCUUCACCAGGUGGUUACAGACCGAAACAACGCAGAGAGGAUUCACCAUGAGUCCAAAACACUGUAUAAGGAGACCGAGGCUGGGGCUCUGCACACCCAAGCUGAGGGGACGCGGCACCUGGGCGAGAGACUGCAGAAUAUCCACUUCUGGAAGUCAGAGCUGCAGCGGCACAUCGAAAAGCUGGUGGCCGAGACAGACCUCCUCCUGGGGCAGAAGAGGAGGCUGUUGAAGGCGCUGGACGCCACCGAGAUCCCGUUCGCCAUCGCCACGGAUAACCUAACCUGUCGGUAACAGUGACCACGUAGAAGAGGAGCUGCUGAUGAUACAAAUAAAACAAAUGUUUUGUCUUUGCUCUAGUUCACCUAAAUACUUGUAUCAUUACUAAAUGUUGCCUAGACGUUAUUUCACUAGAAACCAAUCUGGAAAUAACGUGAUGGUUGUGUUUGUGUACCACAGGAGGUGGAGUUGAUCAGGAGCAUCCAGGCUCUGUUGAAGAGAACGCUGAGUCAGGCUGUCAAUCAAAUCAAGUGAGUGUCACAAUUAAACAAUAAGGGUUUUUAUUUCUCAAAACUUGGAUGAUACAAAUUAUGACAAGGAAAUAAACCAAAGUGCUUUAAAAUAUACCAAGGGCUAAAUGACUUGAAAAACGGACUGUCCUAUAAAGUAUUAACGUGAAAAAGAACUUCGCUAUAACGUGCAGGAACAGAACGUACAUAAACCAAAAAUCAACUCACUGAUGGGACGUUCCACGGAGACUAUAAGGGGAGCUCCAAGGCAAGUCUGCAAACCAUCAAGUUUUACAUGUAUACAAUAAUGAUAAUGUUAAAUACAAGCAUUAUUUUAGCAAUAACAGUACACAAUAUAAAUGUACUACUGUACUUCGCUAUUUUAAACUCGUCAAAGGAAAGAAAUUAUUCCCCUGGGGUGAACAGAGGGUGUGCAUUUCCCAACGCCCUUCCGGAACCGUAUUUUAACCCUGGAAUUCAGGUCGGACCUCCUUUAUCAGAACACCGCGGCAUCCAUCACUGCUGAGGAACAAGACAUUACUUUGAACCGUGACUAUUUACUUGAGAAUGAUAAUGGUUAAAUUAUACCAAUGACUGUUACCACGUAAACUAUGAAGCGUGCACUCAACAUAGAAAACAAUGAUAGCAAAUGUCAAACUGUAUUUCUGCAAUAAAGUUAAGUUACGAUAUAAACAAAAGAUGUGUGUCGCAUCGUCAUUUCUAUUAUGUGUACAGUGCAAAGUGAGUGAUAACGUGCAUAAAAUUAAAAGGAUAUUUGUUAUGGCCUGUACACUACGGCGUGGCUCGCUUGUGGGCAUGCUGGCAGCAGCAGUUCGGUUGUACAACAAUAAUUCAACAUAGUAAGUUUGUAUGACGAUCUGGUUAUUAAAUGGGUAAAUAGUUUACAGACAGUUAAAUAGUAGUGUGCGCUAAACCGCUCUGGUGACGAACGUUGCUGCCCUGUUUCCAAUCGUCCACAUUGCUGCUGUAUGAACCUAUUCAAGUAAGUAAAUACACUUUGGGAAAAAGACUAUACCCGUGUUCGAAUACCCAUAACACACUGUAUACUACAUAUUAAAUGAGUGUAUAUACUAUUAGUUAAUUUUAGGAAACUGUAAACGAACGGUAUCCUUCCAAUUCGUUAGUUGAUGCUGUGACUAUGCAACGUCUUACUAGCUUGUUAGUAAAACAAAUGACAAGACAUUUUACAACUUCAUUAAAACAAUGUCCAUUAAAAACGCUCAACGACUAUACCGCUAAGCUAAGAAUUACGUGAAUAAUCAAGUCAAUAGGUUGCGUAUGUAAAUUCACUCUACUCCGAUUUCAGAGCAGUCUCGUCUGUGUGCCAGAGCGAAGAAUAACUGACGAAUCUACGAACGCCUAACACCCAUAGAAUAUGGCCGGUGUCAGUAAAUAUCGGCAAAAAGGCGUAAUUAAAUUGUUGUCAGCAGCACAGUUCGCCACCAACGCCCUGGACAACAUGAAAACAACCUAACCAGUUCUGCUAGGGCGAGUAAAAUUAAGUAACGUUACCGAGCGAGUUAGCUCGAUUGCCAUUGUGAGCGUCCAGUGUGCGUUCUGAACGCUUCAAGAUCUAAACGCAAUUUACAAACACAGUUGGGUAGUUAGAUAGCAUAUAAGUUAGUUAAUAUACUGGCAAGUUCGAUCUAUUAGUAGCCAACUAACGGGUAACUUAACUAGCUAACGUAACGGCACAUAGUGCUAUAUUGAUAUGCGGUUGAAUGUGGGCCGAGAUAUCCAGAGGCACCACCGUUUGUCAGAUUUGUAAUUAAGAUAAACUUGAAUGGUGUGGUUGAUACAUGAACAUUGUCUGCACUGGCCAAGUGGCAGAAUUCCUACAGCCUCCGUGUAGUCCUGCAGGAGCUCAGACGACUCAUGAUGUGCAAGGAGAACAUGACGCUCCCUCAGCCACCAGAGGGCCAGAUCUACACCAACUGAGCCCACGCUACUACUCUCCUUUUCCAUCUUUUGUUUGCGUUUAUCCUUUCAUCCCAUCCACCACCUCCCUCCUUAUUUUCAUUAAUUCGCCAGCCAACACUCUAGCGCACACACACAUAGGGACGUACGAAUGCAGACACCCACAACCAUGCAAUCACUUCUACAUGCGCCAGGCCCUGGCCCUUCCCCUUUCCAUCACUGGAGCUCUGGUUGGACUAGAGAAGACUUGGUAGGCGGGGUCAUCGGUCCAGAUCUGAUCAUUCGAAUACUGUACAUGUUACUAAUCUUUUUCUAUUAUUUGUUAUAAAUGCAGAUUGUACAAUAAUAUAAAUAAUCUUAUUGAGUGUAAAAAAAUAAAAAAGUAAGGAUAGCGUAGCUAACAAAUCGUCUGGCAACAUAAUGUGUAACUUAUUUCAAAAGUAAAUACUUUAUUACAUUGCUCGACAUUUCCUUAACAUUUGUCAUAAUUAGUUAAAGCAAUGAAUUCGUAUCUUUUCUCGUUGGACUUCGCCAGCAUAUUUUCGCCAUUUUCUUCAAAUCUGAAAACGUUUUAGCCCAUUUUCGAAAGAACUGCAUUAUGGGCCAUAAAAGCACGGAAAUGUUGUCCACUGCUUGUAUACUUUGUAUUUUCGGUAAUGACGUACGAAAUGCCGGAACUUUUGAUACAGAGCUGUAAAACAUUGUCUGCAGAUGAAGAGCAAUGGUUCCCAGUCCUGUUCCUGGGGUCUCAAAGGGGUGCACAUUUUUAUUUUUGCCUUAGUGCUACCCAGCUGAUUCAAAUGAUCAAGUCAUCAUCAAGCUUCAAGUGGUAUUUAUGUAUUAAUUUGUGACGAUUUUCUGCCAUCAUUGUAAGCCUGCCCCACACACACACACUAUACAUUUAUUAAACAUAAGAAGGAGUGUGAGUUUGUCACAACCUGGCUCAUGGGAAUUGACAGAGCUCUUAUAGGACAAGGGCACAAAAUAAUAUAAUACAAUUCAAUAAAUUUGCUAUUUAUUUAACCAUCUUACAUAUAAAACCUUUUGUUAAUCGAUAAUGGUUAAAAAAUCAAA